rnacentral:rRNA from 1 species
UACGUAGGGUGCGAGCGUUGUCCGGAAUUAUUGGGCGUAAAGGGCUCGUAGGCGGUUUGUCGCGUCGGGAGUGCAAACUCAGGGCUUAACCCUGAGCCUGCUUCCGAUACGGGCAGACUAGAGGUAUGCAGGGGAGAACGGAAUUCCUGGUGUAGCGGUGAAAUGCGCAGAUAUCAGGAGGAACACCGGUGGCGAAGGCGGUUCUCUGGGCAUUACCUGACGCUGAGGAGCGAAAGUGUGGGGAGCGAACAGG